rnacentral:rRNA from 1 species
AGACGUAUCCUACGGGGGCAGCAGUGGGGAAUAUUGGGCAAUGGGCGCAAGCCUGACCCAGCAACGCCGCGUGAAGGAAGAAGGCUUUCGGGUUGUAAACUUCUUUUAUCAGGGACGAAGCAAGUGACGGUACCUGAUGAAUAAGCCACGGCUAACUACGUGCC